AUUGAACGCUGGCGGCAGGCCUAACACAUGCAAGUCGAGCGAGCGGAGGACGGGUGAGUAAUGUAUGGGGACUGCCCGAUAGAGGGGGCUAACUACGGGAAACGGUAGCUAAUACCGCAUACUAUCGGAUAACCCAUAUGGGAUUAGCUAGUAGGUGAGGUAAUGGCUCACUUAGGCGACGAUCCCUAGCUGGUCUGAGAGGAUGAUCAGCCACACUGGGACUUGGACACGGCCCAGACUCCUACGGAGGAAGCAGUGGGGAAUAUUGCACAAUGGGCGCAAGCCGGAUGCAGCCAUGCCGCGUGUAUGAAGAAGGCCCUAGGGUUGUAAAGUACGUUCAGUCGGAAGGCGUUACCGACAGAAGAAGCACCGGCUAACUCCGUGCCAGCAGCCGCGGUAAUUC
rnacentral:rRNA from 1 species